AGAGCUGCCUCUGGCAGCUCUCUGGUGAGGUGGCAGGAUCCCAGAAGGGAUAUGUUAAGCACUCGGGCAAAGGAGGCUGGUUCCCUAUGUCCCCAUGUGACACAGAAGCCAUAGAGAGAGCAACCUGACUUAAAGACCAUCCGUGGACUUCGAUAUUGAGGAUGGCAAUUUUAUUUCACCCUGAAGCCAAAGAGAACUUUCUGAAAGACAAAUUUGCUCAUGCUAUAAUAGUUACUGACAAAUAUUUAAAGGACUAAGUUGUGUAAGGAAUCUACACUGUCAGGCAGAACCAGGAUUCCUGGAAGUAGAACUGGGCUGCUUCAUAAGUCUGACUUCAUAUGACAGCUAGAUUCAAAAGGAUGAAAUCAGUAGAGGUGAGACCUCUUGAUGCCUUGGCUUGGAAGUCACAUAUUCUAUUGGCCAAAGCAAAUCACAAGGCCACCACAAAUUCAAGGAGAUGAAGAAAUAGACUCUACCUCUCUUGAUUGGCUUAUAAUAUGGUCAGUUCUUCAGAGGAAGAGGAAAAUUUCAUCUGGCCUCAAAUCUCAGUGAUCGCAUUUGUGGGAACAUAAUGUCUGAAGUAAAGACUAAGUAGAAGUCUGACAAGCAAAAAAAGAAAAAAAGACAAAGACACUCCAAGCAAGAGAAACAACCUGAGCAGAAGCACCCAGGUUGAAGUCCUAACCCCCAACAUCUCAGAAUGUGGCUUUAUUUGAAGAGAGGAUUACCUUUGCAGAGGUAAUCAAGUUAAAAUGAGGUCAAUAUAGUGAGUCCUAAUCCAGUAUGGUUGAUGUCCUCAUGAAAAGGAGAAAUUUGAAGACAGACACACCAAAGGAGAAUGCCAUGUGGAGACACAGGGAGAAGUUGGCAAUCUACAAGCCAACGAGAAUAGCCUGGAACAAAUUCUUCCAUCACACCCCUCAGAAGGAAUCAACCCUGACUGCACCUCCAUUGCAGAGUUGUAGCCUCCAGAACUGUGAGACAAUACAUUUCUGUUGUUUAAGACGCUAAGUUUACGGAGUAAAUUUCUGCUUGUUACAGCAGCCCCAGGAAACUAUUACACUCCACCUCAGCAUUUUCCUCCAGGCAUCCCUCAACCCUGUUCUUCCAACAUUUCCCAAGAAAGAAAGAAAAAAAUAUUACUUCACAUAUGUAUAUUAUAAAUCUUGCCAUUUCAUUUGCCUUCUUUUAACAUCAGUGGGUAAUCUUACCUCACAAAGUUAGAUGUAAUAUGGAAAAACCUCUACAAUUUUCAAACCCAUAAUAAUCAAGUUCUAUAAUCACCAAAAAAGAAAAGUACAAAAGAAAACCAAUGGUGAGAACUCUUAUAAAGCAAGUACAAAGACAAAAUUGGCUAUGCACUAUCAUUAACAGAAGCUAUCACGGCUCCUUUGUAAUCUUAAGCAGCUAUUCCAUGAUCUUUUCUCUCGCAAUGAUGAACCGAACUUUUGAUAAAAUAUUUGAUCUCCUUUUAGCCAAAACUCUUCUUUAUAAGCCCAUUUAAUAUUCCAGAAGGAUUUUCUUUCGUUUGAAGAAAUAUAAGUUUGACAUUCUAAAGGCAUUUGUAUUUUAAAGCCUACAAAAAGAUUUUUGGAGAGUACCUGGUGAAGUACCGACUUGCCCCUGUGGCUCAAAAGUUCAAUUAUUAUAGACAUUUCACUCAGAACAGCAUUUCUGUCUUUUAACCUUCAUCUAAAUAAAUGUUCAUUUUUAUAAAAA
ensembl:lncRNA novel transcript